ACACUCCCNACCCAUGUGAACUUACCAUUGUUGCCUCGGCGGACCUACCCGGUAGCUAGCUACCCUGUAGACCGCCGGUGGACCAUUAAACUCUGUUAUUCUAUGGAUAUCUGAGCGUCUUAUUUAAUAAGUUAAAACUUUCAACAACGGAUCUCUUGGUUCUGGCAUCGAUGAAGAACGCAGCGAAAUGCGAUAAGUAAUGUGAAUUGCAGAAUUCAGUGAAUCAUCGAAUCUUUGAACGCACAUUGCGCCCUCUGGUAUUCCGGAGNGCAUGCCUGUUCGAGCGUCAUUACACCACUCAAGCCUCGCUUGGUGUUGGGCGUCGCGGUCACACGCGCNCCUCAAUAGCACCGGCCGGUCACCCGAACUCCGAGCGCAGGAAGCAAAACACUUUCGCUCACGAGCCGAGGGGAAUCGUGCNGUUUAAACCUCCAUCAAAGGNUGACCUCGGAUCAGGUAGGGNUNCCCGCUGAACUUANGCAUAUCAAUAGGGGGGGA
rnacentral:rRNA from 1 species